UACGUAGGUGACCAGCGUUGUCCGGAUUUACUGGGCGUAAAGAGCGCGCAGGCGGUCGUUUCAAGUCGAGUGUGAAAGCCCCCCGGCUCAACUGGGGGAGGGUCAUUCGAUACUGAUCGACUGGAAGGCAGGAGAGGGAAGCGGAAUUCCCGGUGUAGUGGUGAAAUGCGUAGAUAUCGGGAGGAACACCAGUGGCGAAGGCGGCUU
rnacentral:rRNA from 1 species